AUUGAACGCUGGCGGCAGGCUUAACACAUGCAAGUCGAACGAGUGGCGGACGGGUGAGUAAUGCUUGGGAAUCUGCCUUAUGGAGGGGGAUAACGACGGGAAACGGUAGCUAAUACCGCGUACCAUCGGAUGAGCCCAGAGGGGAUUAGGUAGUGGGUGGGGGAAUGGCCUACCGAGGCGACGAUCCCGAGCUGGUAUGAGAGGAUGACAAGCCACACCGUGACUGAGACACGGCCCGGACCACUACGGGAGGCAGCAGUGGGGAAGAUUGCGCAAUGGGCGCAACCCUGACGCAGCCAUGCCGAGUGAAUGAAGAAGGCCUUCGGGUGGGAAAGUUCUUUCGGUGACGCGGCGUUAAUCAAAGAAGAAGCACCGGCUAACUCCGUGCCAGCAGCCGCGGUAAUUC
rnacentral:rRNA from 1 species